rnacentral:rRNA from 1 species
AGUUUGAUCAUGGCUCAGAAUGAACGUGGCGGCGUGGAUUAGGCAUGCAAGUCGUACGCACAGCAAUGUGAGGUGGCGCGAAGGGUGAGUAAUGCGAAGGUAACCAACCCUGGAGUUGGGCAUAGCCGCGGGAAACUGCGGGUAAUUCCCAGCGAUGUUACGAGGUGGCAUCAUCUUGUAACCAAAGGUGUGAUUCCGCUCUGGGACGGGCCUUCGUGGUAUUAGCUAGUUGGUAAGGUAACGGCUUACCAAGGCUACGAUGCCUACCGGGUGUGAGAGCAUGACCCGGCACACUGGAACUGAGACACUGUCCAGACACCUACGGGUGGCUGCAGUCGAGAAUCUUCGGCAAUGGGGCGAAAGCCUGACCGAGCGACGCCGCGUGAGGGAUGAAGGCCUUCGGGUUGUAAACCUCUUUCGUAGAGGAGGAAGGGGCUGUGAAGAGCAGUCCUUGACCUAUUCUAGGAAGAAGCUUGGGCUAAGUUCGUG